GGGGAAUUUUGGACAAUGGGCGCAAGCCUGAUCCGGCCAUGCCGCGUGCGGGAAGAAGGCCUUCGGGUUGUAAACCGCUUUCAGCCGGAAAGAAAUCGCCAUUCCUAAUACGAGUGGUGGAUGACGGUACCGGAAGAAGAAGCACCGGCUAACUACGUGCCAGCAGCCGCGGUAAUACGUAGGGUGCGAGCGUUAAUCGGAAUUACUGGGCGUAAAGCGUGCGCAGGCGGUUUCUCAAGCCAGAUGUGAAAUCCCCGGGCUUAACCUGGGAACUGCAUUUGGAACUGGAGACUAGAGUGUGUCAGAGGGGGGUGGAAUUCCACGUGUAGCAGUGAAAUGCGUAGAGAUGUGGAGGAACACCGAUGGCGAAGGCAGCCCCCUGGGAUAACACUGACGCUCAUGCACGAAAGCGUGGGGAGCAAAC
rnacentral:rRNA from 1 species